GUGGGGAAUAUUGCACAAUGGGGGAAACCCUGAUGCAGCAACGCCGCGUGAGUGAUGACGGUCUUCGGAUUGUAAAACUCUGUCUUCAGGGACGAUAAUGACGGUACCUGAGGAGGAAGCCACGGCUAACUACGUGCCAGCAGCCGCGGUAAUACGUAGGUGGCAAGCGUUGUCCGGAUUUACUGGGCGUAAAGGGAGCGUGGGUGGAUAUUUAAGUGGGAUGUGAAAUCCCCGGGCUUAACCUGGGGGCUGCAUUCCAAACUGGAUGUCUAGAGUGCAGGAGAGGAGAGCGGAAUUCCUAGUGUAGCGGUGAAAUGCGUAGAGAUUAGGAAGAACACCAGUGGCGAAGGCGACUCUCUGGACUGUAACUGACACUGAGGCUCGAAAGCGUGGGGAGCAAACAGGAUUAGAUACCCCAGUAGUCC
rnacentral:rRNA from 1 species